rnacentral:rRNA from 1 species
UACGGAGGGAGCUAGCGUUGUUCGGAAUUACUGGGCGUAAAGCGCACGUAGGCGGCUUUGUAAGUUAGAGGUGAAAGCCCGGGGCUCAACCCCGGAAUUGCCUUUAAGACUGCAUCGCUUGAAUCCAGGAGAGGUGAGUGGAAUUCCGAGUGUAGAGGUGAAAUUCGUAGAUAUUCGCAAGAACACCAGUGGCGAAGGCGGCUCACUGGCCCGGUACUGACGCUGAGGUGCGAAAGCGUGGGGAGCAAACAGG